rnacentral:rRNA from 1 species
CCCUUUGAUACUCUGGGCGGUACGCGCGCUACACUGGUUUAUAUAACGUGUAAUUUGGACGAUAGUCUGUAUAAAUCACUAAUAUAAAACCGUGAAUGGGAUAGUUUAUUGCAACUUACAAACUUUAACUAGGAAUCCCUUGUAGAAGUAGUGAAUUAUACUGCUUCGAAUACGUCCCUGCCGAUUGUACACACCGCCCGUCGUUUCUUCCGACUGGUACUCAUUGUGAAUUGCGAGGAGAUUCUGUCAAAUCGUUGUAAGUGCUGGGUAUUGGAGGAAGAAAAAGUCGUAACA